UAAACUGACUAGAAUGAUGACCUUACUUUAAAAAGAUGAAAUUGAAUACAGAUAGGCAUAAAUUAGUCCAUGCUCAGCUAUACUCAGGUUGAUAGUUGAGGAAAUUAUCUGUUUGAAUAUAUAACUUGCAAGCUAGCAUUCAUGUUUUUUUUUUUUUAACUCUUGCCUUCUACCUUAGAAAUCAAUACUAAAUAAGGAUUCCAAGGUAGAUGAUACACACAUAUUUUUGCCAGAGCAAAUCAGAUGACCAUGAAUUGAAAGCAAGGACAUGGUACCUCAAAUAUAAAAUGGGCUGAGAUGUGAAACUUUGAUGACUUGAUAUUUGUGAAGAUAUUGAAAACUGAAAAACUCUUCUCGAUGUUAGCUCUAGUCCACAUUCUCCAGCAUUAUCAGUUCAAUUGACUGCUCUAUAAAACUCCCAUUGACUUUUAAGAGAAUAUGGAGGCUGGCUAUAUAUAGAGGCUGAUCUACUAACCAAAGCUCCAUGACACAUACCAUUUAAGAGAGAUAACUGAGGUUUCUUGAAGGGCUAUAUUUGCAUCCUUAAAGCUGAAAUCAUCAACAUCACCA
rnacentral:lncRNA from 1 species